rnacentral:rRNA from 1 species
AUCGAUGAAGAACGCAGCGAAAUGCGAUAAGUAAUGUGAAUUGCAGAAUUCAGUGAAUCAUCGAAUCUUUGAACGCACAUUGCGCCCGCCAGUAUUCUGGCGGGCAUGCCUGUUCGAGCGUCAUUUCAACCCUCAGGCCCCCAGUGCCUGGCGUUGGGGAUCGGCCGACGGCAGCCUUCGGGCCUGCCUGGCCGUCCCCGAAAUCUAGUGGCGGUCUCGCUGUAGUCCUCCUCUGCGUAGUAGCACAACCUCGCAGUUGGAACGCGGCGGUGGCCAUGCCGUUAAACACCCCACUUCUGAAAGUUGACCUCGGAUCAGGUAGGAAUACCCGCUGAACUUAAGCAUAUCAAUAAGCGGAGGAAAAGAAACCAACAGGGAUUGCCUCAGUAACGGCGAGUGAAGCGGCAACAGCUCAAAUUUGAAAUCUGGCCCCAGGCCCGAGUUGUAAUUUGCAGAGGAUGCUUUUGGUGAGGUGCCUUCCGAGUUCCCUGGAACGGGACGCCAUAGAGGGUGAGAGCCCCGUCUGGUCGGACACCGAGCCUCUGUAAAGCUCCUUCGACGAGUCGAGUAGUUUGGGAAUGCUGCUCAAAAUGGGAGGUAUAUGUCUUCUAAAGCUAAAUACCGGCCAGAGACCGAUAGCGCACAAGUAGAGUGAUCGAAAGAUGAAAAGCACUUUGAAAAGAGAGUUAAAUAGCACGUGAAAUUGUUAAAAGGGAAGCGUUUAUGACCAGACUUGGCCCGGUUGAUCAUCCAGCGUUCUCGCUGGUGCACUCUGCCGGUCCAGGCCAGCAUCAGUUCGCCUUGGGGGAUAAAGGUUUCGGGAAUGUGGCUCCUCCGGGAGUGUUAUAGCCCGUUGCGUAAUACCCUGCGGUGGACUGAGGUCCGCGCUUCUGCAAGGAUGCUGGCGUAAUGGUCAUCAACGACCCGUCUUGAAACACGG